CCAGGAAAACGAUAGAAUUAGCCAGGAAGUUAUUCCUCUUGAGCACAUGAAUGCUCUUUACCAAGGUCCUCGUCUCUACCCAUCAGCCGAAUGUCCCACUUGUUUUCUCACCAUCUAGCACCUCUGCUAGAGAUGACCCCGCCCCUCAGAUUGUGGGCUUCAGUUUCAACUGGCUCAGCUCCUGUUUGCCUUUCUAUGAUAUGAAACUAUUUCCAUGAGGCAAUGAGGAACCAGGCGGAAAUCCAGUGACAGAAAGCCGGUGUUAUAACACACGGAAUAUAAAAAACACUUACUUCAUUCCCUGACCAUCUCUUAUCACCACUGUCCACACUAUUGAAGCCUGAAUCAAGGGCUCCAUAAGGGCGACUUGAGUACAGUUCUUCAUGGCUGCCAAAAAGAGACUCUGUUACUGCAAAGUUUGUUAUUUUAACAAUUAACAUUUGAAAUUAAACAGAUCAAUUUUCUAAAAAAC
rnacentral:antisense_RNA from 1 species